AACUACUAGAAAUAGUAGCUAAUACCGAAUAAGGUCAAUUAAUUUGUUAAUUGAUGAAAGGAAGCCUUUAAAGCUUCGCUUGUAGAUGAGUCUGCGUCUUAUUAGUUAGUUGGUGGGGUAAAUGCCUACCAAGGCGAUGAUAAGUAACCGGCCUGAGAGGGUGAACGGUCACACUGGAACUGAGAUACGGUCCAGACUCCUACGGGAGGCAGCAGCUAAGAAUCUUCCGCAAUGGGCGAAAGCCUGACGGAGCGACACUGCGUGAAUGAAGAAGGUCGAAAGAUUGUAAAAUUCUUUUAUAAAUGAGGAAUAAGCUUUGUAGGAAAUGACAAAGUGAUGACGUUAAUUUAUGAAUAAGCCCCGGCUAAUUACGUGCCAGCAGCCGCGGUAAUACGUAAGGGGCGAGCGUUGUUCGGGAUUAUUGGGCGUAAAGGGUGAGUAGGCGGACAUAUAAAGUCUAUGC
rnacentral:rRNA from 1 species